CCGCGGUAAUACGGAGGAUCCAAGCGUUAUCCGGAUUUAUUGGGUUUAAAGGGUGCGUAGGCGGCUUGUUAAGUCAGGGGUGAAAGACGGUGGCUCAACCAUCGCAGUGCCUUUGAUACUGAUGAGCUUGAAUAUACAUGAGGUAGGCGGAAUGAGACAAGUAGCGGUGAAAUGCAUNNAUAUGUCUCAGAACACCGAUUGCGAAGGCAGCUUACUAAGGUAUGAUUGACGCUGAGGCACGAAAGCGUGGGUAUCAAACAGGAUUAGAUACCCUGGUAGUCCACGCCCUAAACGAUGAUAACUCGCUGUUAGCGAUACACAGUUAGCGGCUAAGCGAAAGCGUUAAGUUAUCCACCUGGGGAGUACGCCCGCAAGGGUG
rnacentral:rRNA from 1 species